GCUAAUUUGGCAGACAAGUGCGCUUGAUUUAGGUUCAUGUUAUAAGAUAGUUUAUGUUUUAAUUAGUA
rnacentral:tRNA from 1 species